rnacentral:misc_RNA from 1 species
GAUGAAGAACGCAGCGAAAUGCGAUAAGUAAUGUGAAUUGCAGAAUUCAGUGAAUCAUCGAAUCUUUGAACGCACAUUGCGCCCCCUGGUAUUCCGGGGGGCAUGCCUGUUCGAGCGUCAUUUCACCACUCAAGCCUCGCUUGGUAUUGGGCAACGCGGUCCGCCGCGUGCCUCAAAUCGACCGGCUGGGUCUUCUGUCCCCUAAGCGUUGUGGAAACUAUUCGCUAAAGGGUGUUCGGGAGGCUACGCCGUAAAACAACACCAUUUCUAAGGUUGACCUCGGAUCAGGUAGGGAUACCCGCUGAACUUAAGCAUAUCAAAAGCGGAGGA